rnacentral:rRNA from 1 species
GUUUGAUCCUGGCUCAGGAUUAACGCUGGCGGCAUGCCUAAUACAUGCAAAUCGAACGAAGCCUUUUUGGCUUAGUGGUGAACGGGUGAGUAACACGUAUCCAAUCUACCCUUAAGUUUGGGAUAACUAGUCGAAAGAUUAGCUAAUACCGGAUAAUAACAUUUGCUUGCAUGAGCGAAUGUAGAAAGUUGCGUUUGCAACGCUUUUGGAUGAGGGUGCGACGUAUCAGAUAGUUGGUGAGGUAACGGCUCACCAAGUCAUUGACGCGUAGCUGUACUGAGAGGUAGAACAGCCACAAUGGGACUGAGACACGGCCCAUACUCCCACGGGAGGCAGCAGUAGGGAAUUUUUCACAAUGGGCGAAAGCCUUAUGAAGCAAUGCCGCGUGAACGAUGAAGGUCUAUAAGAUUGUAAAGUUCUUUUAUUUGGGAAGAACCACUAAAAUAGGAAAUGAUUUUAGUUUGACUGUACCAUUUGAAUAAGUAUCGGCUAACUAUGUGCCAGCAGCCGCGGUAAUACAUAGGAUGCAAGCGUUAUCCGGAUUUACUGGGCGUAAAACGAGCGCAGGCGGAUUUGUAAGUUUGGUAUGAAAUCUAGAUGCUUAACGUCUAGCUGUAUCAAAAACUACGAAUCUAGAGUGUAGCAGAGAGUUGGGGAACUCCAUGUGGAGCGGUAAAAUGCGUAGAUAUAUGGAAGAACACCGGUGGCGAAGGCGCCAACUUGGACUAUUACUGACGCUUAGGCUCGAAAGUGUGGGGAGCAAAUAGGAUUAGGUACCCUAGUAGUCCACACCGUAAACGAUCAUCAUUAAAUGUCGGCUCACUUAUGAG